UACAGAGGGGGCAAGCGUUGUUCGGAAUUACUGGGCGUAAAGGGCGCGUAGGCGGCCUUCUAAGUCGAACGUGAAAUCCCCGAGCUCAACCCGGGAACUGCGUCCGAUACUGGCAGGCUUGAAUCCGGGAGAGGGAUGUGGAAUUCCAGGUGUAGCGGUGAAAUGCGUAGAUAUCAGGAGGAACACCGGUGGCGAAGGCGGGUCUCUGGGCCGAUACUGACGCUGAGGAGCGAAAGCGUGGGGGAGCAAACAGG
rnacentral:rRNA from 1 species